rnacentral:rRNA from 1 species
AACAGGCUUAUCUCCCCCAAGAGUCCACAUCGACGGGGAGGUUUGGCACCUCGAUGUCGGCUCAUCACAUCCUGGGGCUGUAGUAGGUCCCAAGGGUUGGGCUGUUCGCCCAUUAAAGUGGUACGCGGGCUGGGUUCAGAACGUCGUGAGACAGUUCGGUCCCUAUCCGUCGCAGGCGUAGGAAAUUUGAGAAGACCUGUCCUUAGUACGAGAGGACCGGGAUGGACGUACCUCUGGUGUACCAGUUGU